GCCCUGUACGUGCUCCUCAGACACGCUCGAGCCGCGGAUCGAGAGAGGCUGUUUACCGAGGGUGGGAAAGCUAACGCGACAGUAGCAACCUUUUGUGGAGAAAUUCGGAGAUCUGAUAUUGAGAGAUUCAACGCUGUGAACCCUCGUGAGCUGGAAUUCCCCUUGCUGCGCGUGGUGCUUAGCAUGGUCGGGUUUUUUUUGGAUCGGAUUUGGAAAUCUUGAGAAGAACCAAGGAUCAACUUCCAGUACUGGAUGACUCUGACAUUCCCACUCGUUUGUAUGCGGUUCCGACCAGACGGCCUAUAUCAGCUAGUUUGGAUUAGCCCCGUAUAUUUCAGAGCAGCUUGUUGCGGAUGCUAACAAGGACGCGUUUGUUUUAAUGUUUGGUGAGAGCCUCAACCAGACCACGAAAACAAAACAACCGGAUCUGCAUAUCCGCUAUUGGUGCGAAGAUCACGUCCAGUCAAGAUAUUCGGGGUCGCAGUUGAUGGGACAUGGAACAGCUGAGGAUUUACUACGCCAUUUCAAAGAAGGUGCCAAGGACCUGGAUAGGUGUAAGCUGCUGUCCGUCUCCAUGGAUGGACCAAACGUUAAUUGGAAGUUCCUCCAACAAGAACAUAUUGCAACUGAAGGAAUUUUGCCUGGAGGUGUGGUCAAACAAAAAAGAAACUUUUCACUGGACCAAAAAGUCAUGUUUUAUGUUAAAAUAAACAUUUGGGUAAAAUUGUCCCUAAACCUAUGUAAUUGAUGUUUUUUUUUCAUGUGUUCAUUGUGAAGUUGGUCUUAAAUUUAAUUUCAAA